rnacentral:rRNA from 1 species
CCUACGGGAGGCUGCAGUAGGGAAUAUUGGGCAAUGGACGCAAGUCUGACCCAGCCAUGCCGCGUGCAGGAAGAAGGCUUUCUGAGUUGUAAACUGCUUUUGAUUGGGAACAAAUAACCCUUGCGAGGGUAGCUGAGUGUACCAAUAGAAUAAGCACCGGCUAACUCCGUGCCAGCAGCCGCGGUAAUACGGAGGGUGCAAGCGUUGUCCGGAUUUAUUGGGUUUAAAGGGUGCGUAGGCGGGCCUUUAAGUCAGUGGUGAAAGCCGACAGCUUA